rnacentral:rRNA from 1 species
GACGAACGCUGGCGGCGUGCUUAACACAUGCAAGUCGAACGGGAUCCAGCCAGUGGCAACACUGGGGAAGAUCUAGUGGCGAACGGGUGAGUAACACGUGAGGAACCUGCCCCAGACUCUGGGAUAACAGCCCGAAAGGGCUGCUAAUACCGGAUACCUUCGCUUGGUCGCAUGGCCGGGUGAAGAAAGUUUUUCGGUUUGGGAGGGCCUCGCGGCCUAUCAGCUUGUUGGUGGGGUAACGGCCCACCAAGGCUCCGACGGGUAGCUGGUCUGAGAGGACGACCAGCCACACUGGGACGUGAGACACGGCCCAGACUCCUGCGGGAGGGCAGCAGUGGGGAAGUCUUGCGCAAUGGGCGGAAAGCCUGACGCAGCAACGCCGCGUGUGGGAUGAAGGCCCUCGGGUUGUAAACCACUUCUAGCAGGAACGGAAAAUAGACGGUACCGUCGCAGAAGAAGGUACCGGCCGAACUAACGUGCCACGCAGCCGCGGUAAAGUACGAUAUCG